CAGUAGCCGCGGGAAUACGUAGGUGGCAAGCGUUGUCCGGAAUUAUUGGGCGUAAAGGGCUCGCAGGCGGUUUCUUAAGUCUGAUGUGAAAGCCCCCGGCUCAACCGGGGAGGGUCAUUGGAAACUGGGAAACUUGAGUGCAGAAGAGGAGAGUGGAAUUCCACGUGUAGCGGUGAAAUGCGUAGAGAUGUGGAGGAACACCAGUGGCGAAGGCGACUCUCUGGUCUGUAACUGACGCUGAGGAACGAAAGCGUGGGGAGCGAACAGGAUUAGAUACCCCUGUAGUCCCUGUCUCUUAUAC
rnacentral:rRNA from 1 species